UGGGGAAUAUUGCACAAUGGGCGAAGCCUGAUGCAGCCAUGCCGCGUGUGUGAAGAAGGCCUUCGGGUUGUAAAGCACUUUCAGCGGGGAGGAAGGCGUUAAGGUUAAUAACCUUGGCGAUUGACGUUACCCGCAGAAGAAGCACCGGCUAACUCCGUGCCAGCAGCCGCGGUAAUACGGAGGGUGCAAGCGUUAAUCGGAAUUACUGGGCGUAAAGCGCACACAGGCGGUCUGUCAAGUCGGAUGUGAAAUCCCCGGGCUCAACCUGGGAACUGCAUUCGAAACUGGCAGGCUAGAGUCUUGUAGAGGGGGGUAGAAUUCCAGGUGUAGCGGUGAAAUGCGUAGAGAUCUGGAGGAAUACCGGUGGCGAAGGCGGCCCCCUGGACAAAGACUGACGCUCAGGUGCGAAAGCGUGGGGAGCAAACAGG
rnacentral:rRNA from 1 species